rnacentral:rRNA from 1 species
GACAGAGGGUGCAAACGUUGCUCGGAAUCACUGGGCGUAAAGGGCGUGUAGGCGGGACAGUAAGUCGGGCGUGAAAUCCCUGGGCUCAACCCAGGAACUGCACUCGAAACUACUAUUCUUGAGUGUCGGAGAGGAAAGCGGAAUUCCUGGUGUAGAGGUGAAAUUCGUAGAUAUCAGGAGGAACACCUGUGGUGUAGACAGCUUACUGGACCAUUUCUGACGCUGAGACACGAAAGCGUGGGUAGCAAACAGG